rnacentral:rRNA from 1 species
GUCGAGCGAGAAGGCCUUCGGGCUGAGUACAGCGGCGGACGGGUGAGUAACGCGUAGGAAUCUACCUGGUAGUGGGGGACAACAUGGGGAAACUCAUGCUAAUACCGCAUACGCCCUAUGGGGGAAAGCGGGGGACCUUCGGGCCUCGCGCUAUCAGAUGAGCCUGCGUAGGAUUAGCUUGUUGGUGAGGUAAAGGCUCACCAAGGCGACGAUCCUUAGCUGGUCUGAGAGGAUGAUCAGCCACACUGGGACUGAGACACGGCCCAGACUCCUACGGGAGGCAGCAGUGGGGAAUAUUGCGCAAUGGGCGAAAGCCUGACGCAGCCAUGCCGCGUGUGUGAAGAAGGCCUUCGGGUUGUAAAGCACUUUCAAUUGGGAAGAAAGGUUGCGUGUUAAUAGCACGUAGCUGUGACGUUACCUUUAGAAGAAGCACCGGCUAACUCCGUGCCAGCAGCCGCGGUAAUACGGAGGGUGCGAGCGUUAAUCGGAAUUACUGGGCGUAAAGCGCGCGUAGGCGGUUUGUUAAGUCGGAUGUGAAAGCCCCGGGCUCAACCUGGGAAUUGCAUUCGAUACUGGCCGACUAGAGUACGAGAGAGGGAGGUAGAAUUCCACGUGUAGCGGUGAAAUGCGUAGAUAUGUGGAGGAAUACCGGUGGCGAAGGCGGCCUCCUGGCUCGAUACUGACGCUGAGGUGCGAAAGCGUGGGUAGCAAACAGGAUUAGAUACCCUGGUAGUCCACGCCGUAAACGAUGUCUACUAGCCGUUGGGAGACUUGAUUUCUUAGUGGCGCAGCUAACGCACUAAGUAGACCGCCUGGGGAGUACGGCCGCAAGGUUAAAACUCAAAUGAAUUGACGGGGGCCCGCACAAGCGGUGGAGCAU